GACGAACGCUGGCGGCGUGCUUAACACAUGCAAGUCGAACGAAGCUUGAUUACGGAUUCUUCGGAUGAAGUAUGAUAUGACUGAGUGGCGGACGGGUGAGUAACGCGUGAGUAACCUGCCCUUCAGAGGGGGAUAGCGUUUGGAAACGAACGGUAAUACCGCAUAAUGUAUUUUGACCGCAUGAUCGAAAUACCAAAGAUUUAUCGCUGAAGGAUGGACUCGCGUCUGAUUAGGUAGUUGGUGGGGUAACGGCCUACCAAGCCGACGACCAGUAGCCGGACUGAGAGGUUGAUCGGCCACAUUGGGACUGAGACACGGCCCAGACUCCUACGGGAGGCAGCAGUGGGGAAUAUUGCACAAUGGGCGCAAGCCGGAUGCAGCAACGCCGCGUGAAGGAAGACGGUUUUCGGAGUGUAAACUUCUGUUCUUAGUGAAGAAUAAUGACGGUAGCUAAGGAGCAAGCCACGGCUAACUACGUG
rnacentral:rRNA from 1 species